rnacentral:lncRNA from 1 species
ACCAAUUCAUUUCAUUUAUAAUAGCAAUUUGCGGCUUGCCAAACCAACAACACAUUUAUGGCUUUCUAAAUCAUGACACAAUCUAUGACCACAGCCGUGCAAACCACAAUGGUCAUGUUAACUAUGGUCAUGGUCGUACUUCGCCAAAGGUGACUCCUACAAUCAUAUCGCGUCACCACUCUUGUUAGAGGUACGCCGUC